rnacentral:rRNA from 1 species
GUGCUUAACACAUGCAAGUCGAACGGAAAGGCCCUGCUUUUGUGGGGUGCUCGAGUGGCGAACGGGUGAGUAACACGUGAGUAACCUGCCCUUGACUUUGGGAUAACUUCAGGAAACUGGGGCUAAUACCGGAUAGGAGCUCCUGCUGCAUGGUGGGGGUUGGAAAGUUUCGGCGGUUGGGGAUGGACUCGCGGCUUAUCAGCUUGUUGGUGGGGUAGUGGCUUACCAAGGCUUUGACGGGUAGCCGGCCUGAGAGGGUGACCGGCCACAUUGGGACUGAGAUACGGCCCAGACUCCUACGGGAGGCAGCAGUGGGGAAUAUUGCACAAUGGGCGGAAGCCUGAUGCAGCAACGCCGCGUGCGGGAUGACGGCCUUCGGGUUGUAAACCGCUUUCGCCUGUGACGAAGCGUGAGUGACGGUAAUGGGUAAAGAAGCACCGGCUAACUACGUGCCAGCAGCCGCGGUGAUACGUAGGGUGCGAGCGUUGUCCGGAUUUAUUGGGCGUAAAGGGCUCGUAGGUGGUUGAUCGCGUCGGAAGUGUAAUCUUGGGGCUUAACCCUGGGCGUGCUUUCGAUACGGGUUGACUUGAGGAAGGUAGGGGAGAAUGGAAUUCCUGGUGGAGCGGUGGAAUGCGCAGAUAUCAGGAGGAACACCAGUGGCGAAGGCGGUUCUCUGGGCCUUUCCUGACGCUGAGGAGCGAAAGCGUGGGGAGCGAACAGGCUUAGAUACCCUGGUAGUCCACGCUGUAAACGGUGGGUACUAGGUGCGGGGUCCAUUCCACGGGUUCCGUGCCGUAGCUAACGCUUUAAGUACCCCGCCUGGGGAGUACGGCCGCAAGGCUAAAACUCAAAGGAAUUGACGGGGCCCCGCACAAGCGGCGGAGCAUGCGGAUUAAUUCGAUGCAACGCGUAGAACCUUACCUGGGUUUGACAUGGAUCGGGAGUGCUCAGAGAUGGGUGUGCCUCUUUUGGGGUCGGUUCACAGGUGGUGCAUGGCUGUCGUCAGCUCGUGUCGUGAGAUGUUGGGUUAAGUCCCGCAACGAGCGCAACCCUUGUUCACUGUUGCCAGCACGUUAUGGUGGGGACUCAGUGGAGACCGCCGGGGUCAACUCGGAGGAAGGUGGGGAUGACGUCAAGUCAUCAUGCCCCUUAUGUCCAGGGCUUCACGCAUGCUACAAUGGCUGGUACAGAGAGUGGCGAGCCUGUGAGGGUGAGCGAAUCUCGGAAAGCCGGUCUCAGUUCGGAUUGGGGUCUGCAACUCGACCUCAUGAAGUCGGAGUCGCUAGUAAUCGCAGAUCAGCAACGCUGCGGUGAAUACGUUCCCGGGGCUUGUACACACCGCCCGUCAAGUCAUGAAAGUUGGUAACACCCGAAGCCGGUGGCCUAACCGUUGUGGGGGAGCCGUCGAAGGUGGGACUGGUGAUUAGGACUAAGA